AGCUCUGUGGUGAAGUUCAUAUCAGAUUGCAAAUUUGAAGAUAUACUUUAAAAUAGUAUCAGUGCUU
rnacentral:tRNA from 1 species